GGAAGCACGUCGGUCGCUGGUGGGCCGCCCAGUCUUCAAAACUGGUGAGGGGGAUGAGAAAUCUCCCUGGCAGGUUCGAUUCCUGUGUGCUUCCGCCA
rnacentral:tRNA from 1 species